UACGUAGGGGGGCUAGCGUUGUCCGGAAUCAUUGGGCGUAAAGCGCGCGUAGGCGGCCAGAUAAGUCCGGUGUGAAAGUCACAGGCUCAACCUGUGAAUGCCGCUGGAAACUGUCUGGCUAGAGUCCGGAAGAGGCGAGUGGAAUUCCUGGUGUAGCGGUGAAAUGCGCAGAUAUCAGGAGGAACACCGAUGGCGAAGGCAGCUCGCUGGGACGGUACUGACGCUGAGACGCGAAAGCGUGGGGAGCAAACAGG
rnacentral:rRNA from 1 species